GGAAGCUUUCAGCAGGAGGCUGGAGACAGAUGACCUUCAGAUAUCCCUAAUUUAGCUCUUGUCCAAUCCCCAGAGAACACAGGAAAAAUUUUCUUUCACUCAUCUGAAAAAAAAAAUUUUUGCAGACAGGCACUGGAAGACAUCUGUGACAAGCCUGUGUGGAAUAAGUGAUAACGCCUUCUGAAAUGUUUGCAAAAGCAAGUCACCUGCUGUUUGCCAGUGACCACUGCUCUCUUCAGUGGGAUGAGCAAGGUUGUACAGAGCCAAAUGAUGGCGAAGAUUCGGAGAAGCAUUAAAAUAUGUGCUAAAAGGUAAACAAUAAAAAUGAUUGCAAAUCUGGCAAGGCUCAUCAAGAAGGUCUACAUUUGUUCCAGCAUUUUGCAAAUGGUAAAAAGCUGGUAUCAGCUGCUCUCAGCAGCCUUAAGAUGAUAUUCAGAGAUAAUGUCUUUCUAUACACAAAAAUCUGGUCAUUGCAGAUACACAUUCUGUCAUCUUGUUCUCUGUGAGUAAGAUAUGCACUUUCAAGAGGCUGACGCAUGACUAUUUUUGGCCUUUCAUAUGAAAUGUCUCAGAUAUUGUGGUCAGCUUGUACGAUGGUAUCAGAAAUGAGGCUGUAGAGGACCAGUUCUCUACAUGCAGUUUUGUCUCGACAUUGCUGCUGCUGCUGCAGAGCCACCGCUGCCAAGGCGCGUUGGGCAAUGCCGCGCCGGCGCCCCCGGGAGCUGUCCGCGAUGUAAACAACCUCGUGCACCUGCACGAGGUAAAAAGGGCGCGAAAAGGGCAGAAGGUCAUCUCUAGGGCACGAACCCCACGUACUCAUUUGCCAUCUGCACAUGAGCAGGAGACCCCCAGAUGCCCCAGCCCGUUUCUGGAAGGUUCCGAGAGGGCGGA